AUGACGGGGCUCCGGGCGGCCGUGACCCUGCUGGAGUCCGGGGGGGACCUCCAGCCCCCCGGGGGGUCCCUGCGCCUCCUCUGCCGAGGCUCCGGGUUUGAUUUCGGACAAUUUGGGAUGGGUUGGCAUCGCCAGAGACCCGGGCAGGGGCUGGAAUCUGUCGCGAGUAUCAGCAAAGGUGGCAGCACCUACUACGCGCCGUCAGUCGAGGGCCGGUUCACGAUCUCCAGGGACAACGGGCAGAGCUCGGUGACGCUGACCAUGAACAACCUCAAGGACGAGGAUUCCGGAUCCUAUUUCUGCGUGAAAUCUCCUCAUACUGGUAGCGCUGAUGCUGAUGCUCAGAUUGACCUUGCCGGGGUUGGCACCAGCCCUGCCUGA